UACGGAGGGUGCGAGCGUUGUCCGGAAUCAUUGGGCGUAAAGGGCGCGUAGGUGGCCACUUCAAGCGUGCGGUGAAAGUCGGGGGCUCAACCCCUGAUCGGCCGUGCGAACUGGGGGGCUGGAGCACUGUAGAGGCAGGCGGAAUUCCGGGUGUGAGCGGUGGAAUGCGUAGAGAGUCCGGAAGAACACCGGUGGCGAAGGCGGCCUGCUGGGCAGUUUUGCUGACACUGAGGCGCGACAGCGUGGGGAGCAAACAGG
rnacentral:rRNA from 1 species